rnacentral:tRNA from 1 species
GGCUCUGUAAAGUCUUUUGUUUUCCGGUGUAAUACGUGACGUUCGCUAGAGCAUGCGGCUGUUAACCGCAGGGUCGUCUGUUCGAGUCAGACAGGGGGAGCCA